GCUGGCGGCGUGCCUACACAUGCAAGUCGAGGGAGAAAGUCUUCCGACUUCGGUCGGGAGGCUGGAAACCGGCGCACGGGUGAGUAACACGUAGGCAACCUACCCUUUGGACGGGGAUAACUUCGGGAAACCGGAGCUAAUACCCGAUAAUGCAACGGCACCGCAUGGUGAUGUUGUUAAAUCUCUUCGGGGGCCAAGGGAUGGGCCUGCGGCCCAUUAGCUAGUUGGCGGGGUAAAAGCCCACCAAGGCAACGAUGGGUAGCUGGUCUGAGAGGAUGACCAGCCACACUGGAACUGAGACACGGUCCAGACUCCUACGGGAGGCAGCGGUGAGGAAUAUUGCGCAAUGCCCGAAAGGGUGACGCAGCGACGCCGCGUGGAGGAUGAAGUUCGUAAGAAUGUAAACUCCUGUUGAGAGGGAAGAAACGCCUUAUGGUUAAUACCCAUAGGGUCUGACGGUACCACUUGAGGAAGCUCCGGCUAACUACGUGCCAGCAGCCGCGGUAAUACGUAGGGAGCGAGCGUUGUUCGGAAUCACUGGGCGUAAAGGGAGCGUAGGCGGGAGAACAAGUCAGAAGUUUAAUUCACAGGCUUAACCUGUGGCCGGCUUUUGAAACUGUUUUUCUUGAGUAUGGGAGAGGAAGAUAGAAUUCCAGGUGUAGCGGUGGAAUGCGUAGAUAUCUGGAAGAAUACCAGUAGCGAAGGCGGUCUUCUGGCCCAAUACUGACGCUGAUGCUCGAAAGCUAGGGGAGCAAACAGGAUUAGAUACCCUGGUAGUCCACGCCGUAAACGAUGAUCACUAGAUAUGGGAG
rnacentral:rRNA from 1 species